rnacentral:tRNA from 1 species
GGGUGUAGCUCAAAUGGUAGAGCACAUGCUUAGCACGCACGAGGACCUGGGUUCAAUUCCCAGUACGCCCA